AUCGCUUCUCGGCCUUUUGGCUAAGAUCAAGUGUAGUAUCUGCUCUUAUCAAUUUAAUAUCUGAUAUGUCCUCUAUCUGAAGACAACAUAUUAAAUGGAUUUUUGGAACUAGGAGUUGGAAUAAAG
rnacentral:snRNA from 1 species